UACGGAGGGUGCAAGCGUUGUUCGGAAUGACUGGGCGUAAAGCGCACGUAGGCGGGUUUGCAAGUCAGAUGUGAAAUCCCCGGGCUCAACCCGGGAACUGCACCUGAAACUGCAGAUCUUGAAUGCUUGAGAGGUUGGUGGAAUUCCUGGUGUAGGAGUGAAAUCCGUAGAUAUCAGGAGGAACACCGGAGGCGAAGGCGGCCAACUGGUGAUGCAUUGACGCUGAGGUGCGAAAGCGUGGUGAGCAAACAG
rnacentral:rRNA from 1 species